rnacentral:tRNA from 1 species
GCCUGAGUGGCUCAGUCAGUUGAGCGUCUGACUCUUCGGCUCAGGUCAUGACCUCAUGGUUCGUGGGUUCGAGCCCCACAUCGGGCU